GCCGAGCUCGAACGAUGAAGCCUGAUCUUGCUCUGGUGGAUUACUGGCGAACGGGUGAGUAACACGUGAGUAACCUGCCCUUGACUCUGGAAUAAGCGUUGGAAACGACGUCUAAUACUGGAUACGAGCUUCAGCCGCAUGGCUAGGAGCUGGAAAGAAUUUCGGUCAAGGAUGGACUCGCGGCCUAUCAGGUAGUUGGUGAGGUAAUAGCUCACCAAGCCUACGACGGGUAGCCGGCCUGAGAGGGUGACCGGCCACACUGGAACUGAGACACGGUCCAGACUCCUACGGGAGGCAGCAGUGGGGAAUAUUGCACAAUGGGCGAAAGCCUGAUGCAGCAACGCCGCGUGAGGGACGACGGCCUUCGGGUUGUAAACCUCUUUUAGUAGGGAAGAAGCGAUGUGCUUGUCACAUCAUGACGGUACCUGCAGAAAAAGCACCGGCUAACUACGUGCCAGCAGCCGCGGUAAUACGUAGGGUGCAAGCGUUAUCCGGAAUUAUUGGGCGUAAAGAGCUCGUAGGCGGUUUGUCGCGUCUGCUGUGAAAACUGGAGGCUCAACCUCCAGCCUGCAGUGGGUACGGGCAGACUAGAGUGCGGUAGGGGAGAUUGGAAUUCCUGGUGUAGCGGUGGAAUGCGCAGAUAUCAGGAGGAACACCAAUGGCGAAGGCAGAUCUCUGGGCCGUUACUGACGCUGAGGAGCGAAAGCAUGGGGAGCGAACAGGAUUAGAUACCCUGGUAGUCCAUGCCGUAAACGUUGGGAACUAGAUGUAGGGACCAUUCCACGGUUUCUGUGUCGCAGCUAACGCAUUAAGUUCCCCGCCUGGGGAGUACGGCCGCAAGGCUAAAACUCAAAGGAAUUGACGGGGGCCCGCACAAGCGGCGGAGCAUGCGGAUUAAUUCGAUGCAACGCGAAGAACCUUACCAAGACUUGACAUAUACGAGAACGGGCUAGAAAUAGUCAACUCUUUGGACACUCGUAAACAGGUGGU
rnacentral:rRNA from 1 species